UGUUUCCUACGGGACGCAGCAGUGAGGAAUAUUGGUCAAUGGGCGGGAGCCUGAACCAGCCAAGCCGCGUGAGGGAAGAAGGUACAGCGUAUCGUAAACCUCUUUUGUCAGGGAACAAAGGCGGGGACUAGUCCCCGGAUGAGGGUACCUGAAGAAAAAGCAUCGGCUAACUCCGUGCCAGCAGCCGCGGUAAUACGGAGGAUGCGAGCGUUAUCCGGAUUUAUUGGGUUUAAAGGGUGCGUAGGCGGAACAUUAAGUCAGCGGUAAAAUCGAGGGGCUCAACCCCUUUAAGCCGUUGAAACUGG
rnacentral:rRNA from 1 species